GGUUAAAAAGCUCGUAGUUGGAUUUCUGCCGAGGACGACUGGUCCGCCCUCUGGGUGAGCAUCUAGUUCGGCCUGGGCAUCUUCUUGGAGAACGUAGCUGCACUUGACUGUGUGGUGCGGUAUCCAGGACUUUUACCUCGAGGAAAUUAGAGUGUUUCAAGCGGGCACACGCCUUGAAUACAUUAGCAUGGAAUAAUAAGAUAGGACCUCGGUUCUAUUUUGUUGGUUUCUAGAGCUGAGGUAAUGAUUAAUAGGGAUAGUUGGGGGCAUUCGUAUUUAACUGUCAGAGGUGAAAUUCUUGGAUUCGUUAAAGACGGACUACUGCGAAAGCAUUUGC
rnacentral:rRNA from 1 species